rnacentral:pre_miRNA from 1 species
CAAACUUUCCCAUCGUUCGGAAAAGAUUGUCCCAAGCUUGUCCCUCAAAUGGAUGUAUCUAACAUUAACUUAGUGCUAGAUACAUCUAUUUGAGGGACAAGCUUUUUCGGACGGAGGGAGUACUUU